GCACAAGCGGUGGAGCAUGUGGUUUAAUUCGACGCAACGCGAAGAACCUUACCUGGGCUCGAAAUGUAGUGGACCGGGGUAGAAAUAUCCCUUCCUAGCAAUAGGCUGCUAUAUAGGUGCUGCAUGGCUGUCGUCAGCUCGUGUCGUGAGAUGUUGGGUUAAGUCCCGCAACGAGCGCAACCCUUAUUACCAGUUGCUACCAUUUAGUUGAGCACUCUGGUGAGACCGCCUCGGAUAACGGGGAGGAAGGCGGGGAUGACGUCAAGUCCUCAUGGCCUUUAUGUCCAGGGCUACACACGUGCUACAAUGGCCGGUACAAACCGUCGCAAACCCGCGAGGGGGAGCUAAUCGGAAAAAGCCGGCCUCAGUUCGGAUUGCAGUCUGCAACUCGACUGCAUGAAGCUGGAAUCGCUAGUAAUCGCGGAUCAGAACGCCGCGGUGAAUACGUUCCCGGGC
rnacentral:rRNA from 1 species